AAUGCGGCUGGGCGGGAGCGGAGGGGAGGCGAGGGCGGCGGCCUCUCCGCUCGGAUCCGGACGGGCCCAGCUCCUCUGGCUCCGCUCCUGCCCUGUCACUCGGCCCCUCCUGUGGCCUGCAGGGCGGCCGCCUGCUUCUUCGUCUUCCUCUUGGCUGGUGAACCACCAGGCUGAUCCUUCAAGUCCAGGCCUCCCGACCCCCGCAGCCAGGGAGGUUGAUGUUUCCAACACAGUGAGCAGCAUUAGGAAGGAAACUCCGGGGAUGGAACAACCCGGGAAUCCUGUCUGAAGUGUUCACUUGGCGGAUCUUAUUACGGAAACACCUUCCCCUGACCCUGCUUCCUCCUGGCCCUGGAGGGUGAUGGCCUUGCUGAGAAGCCCCUGAAUCAAUGCUGAUGGAAGCUCCGGAGACUGGGAAGUCCAUGGUCAAAGCAGACUAAGAUUCCCCCAGUGUCUGACACCGAGCUGAGCUGCUCUCUCCUGGAGAUGGUGCUGCCCCGUGGUGUCCCCUCAGCAGCCGGAGCCACUCUGGAGAGAGAUGCACCCUUGUUAGCCACAUGGCCCCACGAUGGCUCCUCUCCAUUGCUCGGAACCAAGUCCCAGCCCUCACAGAAGCUUCAUGGUCACAGAAAGUUCCGUGGUACAGUCCCUCCUGCUGCUCCUUUCAUUCAUUGACCUGGGGCUCGCCAAACUAUGGCCCUCUGCCUUUAUUUUUUAAAACCUCACUAAACACUUGAAAAAUCGA